rnacentral:rRNA from 1 species
AGAGUUUGAUCAUGGCUCAGAUUGAACGCUGGCGGCAUGCCUUACACAUGCAAGUCGAACGGCAGCACGGGAGCAAUCCUGGUGGCGAGUGGCGAACGGGUGAGUAAUACAUCGGAACGUGCCCAAUCGUGGGGGAUAACGCAGCGAAAGCUGUGCUAAUACCGCAUAAGAUCUACGGAUGAAAGCAGGGGACCGCAAGGCUUGCGCGAAUGGAGCGGCCGAUGGCAGAUUAGGUAGUUGGUGGGGUAAAGGCUCACCAAGCCGUCGAUCUGUAGCUGGUCUGAGAGGACGACCAGCCACACUGGGACUGAGACACGGCCCAGACUCCUACGGGAGGCAGCAGUGGGGAAUUUUGGACAAUGGGCGCAAGCCUGAUCCAGCCAUGCCGCGUGCAGGAUGAAGGCCUUCGGGUUGUAAACUGCUUUUGUACGGAACGAAAAGGUUCUCUCUAAUACAGGGGGCUCAUGACGGUACCGUAAGAAUAAGCACCGGCUACUACGUGCCAGCAGCCGCGGUAAUACGUAGGGUGCAAGCGUUAAUCGGAAUUACUGGGCGUAAAGCGUGCGCAGGCGGUGAUGUAAGACAGUUGUGAAAUCCCCGGGCUCAACCUGGGAACUGCAUCUGUGACUGCAUCGCUGGAGUGCGGCAGAGGGGGAUGGAAUUCCGCGUAGCAGUGAAAUGCGUAGAUAUGCGGAGGAACACCGAUGGCGAAGGCAAUCCCCUGGGCCUGCACUGACGCUCAUGCACGAAAGCGUGGGGAGCAAACAGGAUUAGAUACCCUAGUAGUCC